rnacentral:tRNA from 1 species
GGGGGUGUAGCUCAGUGGUAGAGCGCGUGCUUUGCAUGCACGAGGCCCUGGGUUCGAUCCCCAGCACCUCCA